rnacentral:tRNA from 1 species
UUUUAGGUGACUGAUUUAAGUAAUGGCCCUUUAAGCCAUAUAAUAGUAUUUUACUCCUAAAAU